rnacentral:sRNA from 12 species
CGACCACCCCUCUGGGGUCAGGGCCAUACGGACAGCUGGUCAGAAGCCCG